GCAACGGUCACAUCAAAGGGCUCGUCGUACUGUACUCCACGCCACUAUUCGGUCGAUUGACAGACAAACUCAACUCUGCAUUUCACCUGGAGUCAGUUGAUGGAUCGUGGGCUCAAGUUUUUGUGGGCUAGAAGUUUAAUGAGGUUGUAACGUGAGUGUUCUCGGAUUGCAAAUUUCAAACAACCGCCCUUUUUGAUGCAACGGAGAUAAACGCAGAGUUUAAGAGCAUCCCAGCCAUGCCUCUACAAUCAAAGUGUUUGCAAAGCGGCCGGGGAGCAGGGAAAAAAGCUGAAAGUCAUAUCUGCCAUGAUGACAGAUGACAUUGAUGCCAGAAGGGAGUCCCACAUUAAAGGACUGCAUCUAUCUGAAUGAGAAUCCCAACGUCUUGGAGCGGGAGUACACGGACAUGACUGAGGCCACUGCGCUGAGUGCCAUCAUGAAAACGACAGUGGGAAUUUACGUCACCAAACAGACGCCAGGCAAUGACUUUUCUGAUGUUGGCAUCAUCAUCGAGGGUGUGGUGGUUCUUCAAGAUUUGGACAGCAUGGCCCAUCAACAGCCUUGCUGUUUGGACUUUGUUACUCUUUGAAGAUGAGGUAUCCGUUACAGCUCCGCUACACUUUUGAAGGGAUUCAAAAGGUUUUAAUGGAGUUGGAUGUGACUUAACUCUCAAGGAAAGCCCAGAGCUUAAAGACAGACCUGGUCCAGUAAGGAGAGGUCCCUGUUGUUGUGCACGUGAGGCCAAGUGUUCGUUCCUUUACGGCCAUGUGGACGGGCCAGUUAUUUUCCCCUCUACAAGACUCUGAUUGGCAGCAUUCUUCAGUCUUAGUUUCUAUCUGUCUUACAGGUGAAGGGAUUGAGAACUGUACACAGUCUGAAUACUGCCAUCAGGGCCGUGUGAAACCGGAUCUUUAGGUUAAUUAAGUUGCAGUAAAGAGUUUUAAUACUUCUAAGAAUACAACUCAGACUUGGCUCUUAUAGGGAACAUUUUUUCUUUGUGUGCAGCCCCUACCUGUGGGACCAGAGAUGGUUUAUGCUUAUGCAAGCCAAUGUAUGUACAGGAUGAAUUCAUGGCCGGACUGAAGGCAGCGUAACAUUUUUGAAAUAUUUACCUGUGUCUGUAAGUGACACUUAAACCUUGAAUGUCAGUUAAUGACCAGAUUCUUUGUGAGUGUUGGAAGUUGGGCUCUUGAAUAAAGGUUUUGCAACUGCAAAUGCAACUGGUAAAAAUGGGUCAUUUUAAUGAUAAAGAGCGUUAA